UACGAAGGGGGCUAGCGUUGCUCGGAAUCACUGGGCGUAAAGCGCACGUAGGCGGAUCUUUAAGUCAGGGGUGAAAUCCUGGAGCUCAACUCCAGAACUGCCUCUGAUACUGGGGAUCUUGAGUCCGGAAGAGGUAAGUGGAACUGCGAGUGUAGAGGUGAAAUUCGUAGAUAUUCGCAAGAACACCAGUGGCGAAGGCGGCUCACUGGCCCGAUACUGACGCUGAGGCACGAAAGCGUGGGAGCAAACAGGG
rnacentral:rRNA from 1 species